UUACAUACAGUCAUAGUGGACUUGCAAUCGUUAGUCACAUUUAAUGCAUGCACGUGCUUCGUUCUGCCACAAACUCUUUGUAUAGUUGAAGGUUAUGCAUUCCUUCUGCAUUAACCUUUUCGCUCUCAGUUUCUUUCAUUUGGUUUUCUUCAUCUACGGUCUAGCAGCUAUUCUAAUGCUUUAGAGAUGUUUCUCUUCUCUCUUGCGCCUUUCUGUUAGCUCUUUAUUUUCUAUUGGCUUUCCCUGAUCCCUGUGUCAAAUUCUUAGCUUCGCGCCGGCUUUAAUCAGGUACGUCCUUGUUUUUCUUUACUGCAUUUCCUGGUUGACCUUUUCCUCGUUUGCUCUUAGUUAAUCUGCAGUUACUUAUUUUCUUUUCUUGUGGUUGAAGUUAUGUUUCUAUCAUUUUUUUCCUCCCGAUUAAUUACCUAAGAAUAUCUGUUUUGUUUCCAUGAUUUUUGUGAAAAAACUCAGUACUUCGCGCAGAAUCAUUUUUCUUUGUUGCAGCUUUUUAGUCUGCAUUAACUCUGAAUUUUUUUACGUUAGCUGACUCCAUAAACUAUUAACAAAUUUAAAAAAUCUCCUUACUUUUCCCAUUUUGGUGUAUUUUGCUCAUGCUCACUGUGUGUGCCUUUUCCAUGAUCAUACCAGUUCAUUUAGUGCACCCAAGUUUUCCACGAUCCUAUUAGCUGUUUAUUAUUCAGGUAAAGCAAUCCUUUCUUCGCUUAAUUGCUUCUCCUUUGCUUACUGCUCAGUCUAUUCUGCCUUGUUCUAUUUGAUUUUGCAUACCAUGUUUGUUAUCUCUUUGCCUAUUGAAUAGCGAUCAUCUAUAUAUAAAAAAGGCACAUGCUUUUUGCUUUCAUAUUCAUGAUCUGCGAAAUUUCCAGAGACUUUUACAUAGUAUGGGCACCCCGCGACAGCCGCGGGGUCGAAUGCCUAGUACAAUUUGAAAGGGUUAACUUAACCUCCAAUAUCAGGCUCCAUUUUGCACUUUGGUUCUCAUAAUUCAUUUAAUUAGCUAUUUAGACCUCAAUAAUAGGUCAAAAAACAUUUGCUUCUAAGAAUUGUGCAAAGGAUCACAUUUUUAGCCCUUAAACAGUUAAACGUUACUAAAACAUUUUAGCCCUUUAAGAAUUGGGCAAAAAAAAUCACCAAAAACAUUUUCCCCUCUAAGAAUUGGGCAAAAAACAUUUUUAGCCCUUAAAUUCUUUGACUGCAAGUUUCAUUUAAAUGCCACAAUAGUUAACGGUCAACUUUGUCGUUGAAAGGAAAGAAAUUUAAUUUCUUAUAUAAAAGAUUAGAACUAGGCUGUGUUAACAAACAUUACAAAAUAAAGGAUUAAUAACACUUUGCUCCCCUGAAUUUAGGAGAUUGUCACACUUUACCUUUCUCAACCUUAAAUAUAUAUGUAUAUAUAUAUAUAUAUAUAUAUAUAUAUAUAUACUUUAUUCCCAUAAAGACUAGUCAAAGUUAAAAAUAAAAAAAAUUGAGUGAAAUAACAUUAUUUCCCUUUUAUUCAUGAAAUUAUUUAUAACUUAAUAUCAUUUCCUUUCAUUGCCAAAAGAUUUAUAACUUCUUUAUCAUAUCAUUAUUAAAAAAAUCAAAUGAAAAAAAGUUAAAGAAGGUUAAUAUUUAGUUUAUAUCCUUGACAUUUUUCCUGUUGGAUUAAUGUUUACUUCUAUAUAUGUUUUGUUCAAUUUAUUAGACUUUAAGUCAAACAAAAUUAAUAAAUAACAUAAUACUAAAAAUAAGUGUAAUUAUCAAAAUUUAUAUGAAAAGGUAAUAUCAAACUCAUUUUUCUAAAACAAAUUUUUAUUAUUUUAAUUUAUUUAAACUUCUAGACUAAUAUUGUUGUCAUUUUUCUAUUUAUUAAAUUAGUCCAAUAUGAAAUUCGUAAUCAAAUUUGCUAAAAAUGGUUGAUAUACCUCAGUUUUAAACAUAAAGAAGGAAAAUGGAGAAUAAAUGAAAUUUUAUUUUCUUGACAAGAAAAGGCAAUAAUAGUAAACUAUAAAUACAUCAAUAGAACAUGACAAUAGUUUGAGCCUAAAAUUUCACAUAAACUAAAAUAAUAAAAAACUACAUUUUUAAACAAAAAAAGUUUAGUAUUACCUCUUUUUGAAAAAGAAAUUUGGUAUUUGUGUUUAUUUAGUAUUGUGAUAUUUAUUCUUUUUUAUUUGACUUAAAUUAUAAUAAAUUGAAUAAAGAAUAUAUAAAUGUGAAUGCUAACCACUGAUAGAAAAAAUUUUAAGGAUAUAAACUAAAUUUAAACAUUAUUUAACUUUUUUUAGUUUGAUAUUGUUGUAAGUUGAUAUGAUAGAGAAGAUGUAUACUUUUUUAGCAACCAAAGGAAAUAAUACUAAGUUAUAGAUAAUUUUAUGAAUAAAUGGGCAAUAAUCAUUAUACUCACCUUUUUGUAUUUUUAAUUUUGACUAAUUGUCAUAGGGGUAAAGUAUAUGAUAAGCGCAGGAUGUGCUUGUAAGAAUAAUCUAUUUGCUACGCCGCAAGUUUUAAAUUUAUAAAUUUCUAAAUAUCCCGUAUACUUCUACAAGUUUACAAGUCUCGUUUGAAUAUAAGGUAUUAAGAGUCGUCGAUUCCAUAAGAAAGAUUGAUCAACUAUCGACACUAUUCAAACUUCUUUAUUAUUUAUUAUCAACAAAUUGGAGAAAAGUAAAACUAUGCUAGAAAAUAAUAACGGAAAGGUCCUCAAGUCAAGGUAUCUCUAACUACUCAAGCAAAUGCAAUUCUUAGACAAUUGAGCACUACUAUCUCGACUAGUUAUGGUGUAAUUUCUUAAGAUAUGUGAAACCCGCUUUCACCAGUAAAUCAAUUGUACUUAUAGCUAAUCCAUACCCACUUUCAUGGACAUAAAGUUAGCUAUAGAUUCAUUUACUUCUAUGAAAUCACAUGGAAUAAUAUCACAAAAGGUACAAAGGUGCAUCUCUACUUUCAUUAGUGUACUCCUUAAAUUUAGUAAUUUCUUAAACUAGUGUUAAACUCCAAAUUGUUGUUGCAAUUCAACACCUUGUGAUUAUCAUAAUUAAUGGCCAGUUGAUCAUAAUUAUAUAAGCAAAAGUAUUAAAUAACAUGCUUAAAAUAAUUGUUGGGCUUGGAUUUUAUUGGUGGGAUAAAACCGAAAUCCAACAAUAAUAGUAUCAAAUAACCAAGUAAUCAACACAAAGCAAUCAUAAAAAAUUCAACCAAGGCAUAAACUUUAAAAUAACAUCAUAAACAUAAGAUUCGUGAAUUGCCAAACAAUAGAAUCCAAGCCAGCAAAAAGUGAAAACAACAACAAAAUUAUACAGACAGAAUGAGAUAAAGGGAAACAAAGGGCAAAACAACCUAACAACGAAGCCUAGCGUCUGCCUGAAGGAAUCAAGAUCUCACUCUUCAUAAUGAUUUCUUCUUCUCUGAAAAAGCAUGGUUCAUCUUCAUCAAUUCUUCCCAUUCUUCCUACACUAACACUAUAACAUCUAAACAAAUCAUCAAAAGCAUCCACCUUGCUAUUUCUCUGACAUAAUCCUCCCUUAUCAGAAUUAUUAUCCUCAUUGGUCUUGGAAUUCAUCAAUCGAUGAAGCUCCUUCCAUUUCUCAUCAUUUUUCAUAGCGUUCUUCAAACUUGCUCCAAAAUAUUUUGGCAUGUGGGAUACCCGGGGAGCAGGCAUGGCCAUCAUCAUGUUGCUACCAUAGACAACCCUUCCAUCGAAUUCAAUCAUGCUUUUAACGUAAAAAUCUCUAGCCUUGGCUAGAAAUCUCUUUGGUGCGGCAAUGUAUCGCCUUAGCUUACUUUGCCUACCCUCUUUGCUUCUCAUCUAGCUUAGUAUUUUCUUGUAGGAACUUAAAGAGCAAGAGAAAGAAGUUUUUGGUACGGUGUGGGGAGGGAGGUAAAAUAGUUUAUAUAGAUUGAUUUCAUUGUUUUGACUAUUGACAUGUUUGGUUGGUUUGAAAGAGAAUUCACAAAUGCUUGUUUGGAAUUAUCAGAAGUGAAGAAGAUACUUUGAAGAAUAUAGAAACAUACGGGAAAUGGAAUUUUUCGGGUCAUAGUUGCUGAUUGGCUGUUUUUGGCUUUGCAAAGUUUAUUUUAGUCUUCGUGUUGUCAUACAACAAUUAAAAGCUUUCGUACAGUGAAUAUGUUUUACACAUUUAAUAUAAUCUAAUUAACAAUCAAGAAUUUAAAGUUCUAUCCUAGGAGAAUUGGGUUCUCAGAUUUUUUCUUCUCAUUUUCAACUGAAAAAUAAAUAACGAAUGAAUUCUUUAUGACUUUAUGUCUUAUGUGAUUUUUUAGGUAGUUAUUUUUCCCGUUUUGUUUGAAUUAAUAUUAUGAUGAACAAAUGAAAUUCUUUUGCCUCAAAGAGAUUGUUCUCAUAUUUUGGGGUUAUGACCAAAAGAGCCAAAAAAAUGGAUAUAGUCCGGAAUAUUUUGUACAAUUAGAAUUACUGGGAGACAACAAAAGCAAAAGACUAUAAAAUACUAGUAAAAUAUAGUUGGCUGCCAAAAGCUGCAUUUGACUAUUGCUUUCUCUACUUUCAUGCCCAUUCUUUACCAUUAGACCUUCUCUUCUCGGAAAAUGAUGAUAUCAAAGUUCUUUGAAUGAUGCCCAGCUUUGGCAUUUUCCUACUCCAUACUUGGAUCUUUUACACUUAAGGUAAUUAAUGGAGGAUUUCAUAAUAAUCAUCUAGUUAUAUUCUUAUCAAAAAACAAUUUUUUAAUUGUAAUCCAUUAUCAUGUGACUGGUAUCAGUGAUACAUGAUGAGAUAAUUGUAACCGAACCAAUAAGAUUUACACCUUCAAAGUCUUGUGGUGACAAUUGGUUUGUGCCUUGCACUUUCAAUUCUCAUAACUUAGUAGCUAGCUAAAUUUCAAUACCGUUUUCUAUUUAACCAAGUUGGUAAUUAAUUAAACUCGAUCCUUCGGUUUGAAUUGUAUAAUCGAAAAAUAAUUGAUAAACAUUAAUGAGUUAGGUCAUUGCAUCAAGUAUUUUUGGAAUUAAUUAAUAUACUGCUCAAGAAAGCAACUUAAAAGCAUUUGUAAAAAUUGCAUGCAGAUAGAAAAUUUCAAGCAGAAACCUAUAAAAAAAAAAAUUGCACAUCUGGGAACUGAAAUCAAGUCAAUUUCCUAGCAGAAUAAGCCAAAACCAAGAAAUUAAGUUUCAACCUAGAUAGUUGUAUAAGCUAUUGUGUCAAUACCCAAAAUUUGUAGUUUAAAUUUAAAUUUAGAUGAUGUGGCAUUCAUCUAACUUCCCAAAUGUAUAUAUUGUCGGUAUAGGAAAUAUUAAUGGGUGGGGUUAAAUCCACACCCCUCUAGUCUAAAUCCACACCUUUUACACCAAAAUGUCUAUAAAGCCUAUAUUAUUUAUCAGGAUUUCAUAGGAACUUUUUCAAUACCAAAAUUAACCUUUUGUGGUGAGAAAAGUUGGCGCCAAUUAAGUUUAUUUUUUCCCCACUCAAUUGCGUCCUUUCAUCAUUCCUAUUCCUUACCUUCUGAUAUUCACGAACUAUAACAACAACUAUUAUCAUCAGCUAGAGAACUUCAAGCUUCUAGUUCCAAGUGAAUAUGAAAUCAUUGCCAUGAUCAUCAUUUGUUUUUUUAUUAUCAAUAGAUAUUUGAAAAUCAACUAUCACUCUUCAAUUUUGAUCCUGAAAUUUUUGUUUUUUUUAUUAUCAAUAGUAUUUUUCUGGUAAAUUUUUGCUAUGCUUUGGUAUAUUUUAGUUGAUGAUGAUAGUUGCUACUAUAAGUUUUCAGUAUUGGAAGCUAAGGACAGGGGACGAUAAAAUGAUGCAGUAAAGUGGGGGGAAAAAAUGAACUUGAUUGGCUCCAUCUUUUUCCACCACAAAAGAUUAGUUUUGGUAUUGAAGAUGUUCCU
rnacentral:lncRNA from 1 species